ACAAAGGCCCCUGAGUGGCUAGAUGAAACACACUUCUUCCUCUUGUUUCUUGGACCUUUUCCAUUGACCAGCAUCAUAACCUUCGAACUAAAAUGCCCUGAAAGUUCACAGGUACUGUGCCAUUUACUCAAGUAAUGCAACAUAUUGACAGUAUUUGUUUUAAAGGUGCCUUCAGGCGAACUGAAGUUAGUGAAAAAUAAGGAGGGAGCCUUUGCACACCGCACUAAUACGAAGUAUAUUUCUGUUGGGUGUCUGCAAAUGCUUCUUUGCAGGGCUUGCUGCUUCUUGAACCACGAAUCUUGUCUCACAGGCUUCCUGAUUUCUUGUCUCAAAAAACAUUCCACAACAGCUCUGAGUGCUGCGAAGCCGGCUGGGUCAUCUGCUGCGGCCGCCUUCCAGUACCUGCCAUUAUGUCUGACCCAGAGCAGGGCCUCAAUAAAUGAAUGGAUGAAUGGAUGACUCCCAACACUAAGACAAAUAAAUGAAUUGGAUCUUUACUCCAAGAAGAGAAGCGUUCCAGUUUUACUAUCUGACAGUGGUCACUCACAACCCGCGAUCCCCAUGAGAAACCGCUUCUCAGAAACAACUGAGCGGAGGAGCUGCGAGCAGUUUAUAUGUGACAUUAACUGGCACCACGAUUCUGAAGGACUGGAGCACGGAGCUCUGUCACAAGUGGGCCAGCUGUCAUCCUAGUCAGCUACGGUACAAUGAGAAGGACUCUACAUCAGGAUGGAAACCAAUCAAGUGCAUGACAGACUGCCACCACACUGGGGCAACAACUCAAAGCCCAUACCUUAAUAGUGGUGUUAGUAAGAUAGCGUUUUGGAGACUGUUGUCCCCCCCCCACCCCCAACUCACACAUUCGUGAUAAUUAUCAAUGCCACAGGGCAGCGUUUUUAAUGAAAGAUUUUCAGUCACCUCAUUUAGACCAAAUAUGUGAAGAAGGGGAAGAUGAAACCUCAGGUUUACUACUGAGCAAGUGGUAAGAUACAGCAGCUGGAUCUAGACUUCACUCCAAGUGUCAUGCCCCUGGGUAACAAUUUAAUUCCGAUGCUUAUGUCCUUCUCUAUAAAUUGAGACCAGGAGUACCUACCUCAUAAGAGUUCUUGCUAUGAU